rnacentral:rRNA from 1 species
GACGAACGCUGGCGGCGUGCUUAACACAUGCAAGUCGAACGGAAACGCCCUUCCUUUGUGGGGUGCUCGAGUGGCGAACGGGUGAGUAACACGUGAGUAACCUGCCCUUGACUGUGGGAUAACUUCAGGAAACUGGGGCUAAUACCGGAUAGGAGCUCCUGCUGCAUGGUGGGGGCUGGAAAGUUUCGGCGGUUGGGGAUGGACUCGCGGCUUAUCAGCUUGUUGGUGGGGUAGUGGCUUACCAAGGCUUUGCCGGGUAGCCGGCCUGAGAGGGGGACCGGCGACAUGGGGACUGCGAUACGGCCCAGACUCCUACGGGAGGCAGCAGUGGGGAAUAUUGCACAAUGGGCGGAAGCCUGAUGAAGCAACGCCGCGUGCGGGAUGACGGCCUUCGGGUUGUAAAACGCUUGCGCCUGUGACGAAGCGUGAGUGACGGUAAUGGGUAAAGAAGCACCGGCUAACUACGUG